rnacentral:rRNA from 1 species
CGAACGCUGGCGGCGUGCUUAACACAUGCAAGUCGAACGGAGCCUAUUAGAACUUCGGUUUUGAGAAAGCUUAGUGGCGAACGGGUGAGUUACACGUGACUAAUCUACCCCGGACUGGGGAACAACAUCGGGAAACUGAUGCUAAUACCGCAUAUUGAGAUUCUUCCGCAUGGUUGAAUCUUGAAAGAUUUAUCGGUCCGGGAUGAGGUCGCGCCCUAUUAGCUUGUUGGUGAGGUAAAGGCUCACCAAGGCAACGAUGGGUAGCUGGUCUGAGAGGAUGAUCAGCCACACUGGGACUGAGAUACGGCCCAGACUCCUACGGGAGGCAGCAGUGAGGAAUAUUGCGCAAUGGGCGAAAGCCUGACGCAGCAACGCCGCGUGAAGGAUGAAGGUGCUUUGCAUUGUAAACUUCUGUAAGGAGGGAAGAACUCCCCACUUUUGGUGGGGCUGACGGUACCUCCAAAGUAAGCACCGGCUAAUUCA